UACGGAAAGCAGCAGUGGGGAAUAUUGCACAAUGGGCGCAAGCCUGAUGCAGCCAUGCCGCGUGUAUGAAAAAGGCCUUCGGGUUGUAAAGUACUUUCAGUCGUGAGGAAGGUGUUAAGGUUAAUAACCUUAGCAAUUGACGUUAGCGACAGAAGAAGCACCGGCUAACUCCGUGCCAGCAGCCGCGGUAAUACGGAGGGUGCGAGCGUUAAUCGGAAUUACUGGGCGUAAAGGGCACGCAGGCGGUUAAUUAAGUUGGAUGUGAAAUCCCCGGGCUUAACCUGGGAAUGGCAUUCAAGACUGGUUAGCUAGAGUCUUGUAGAGGGGGUAGAAUUCCAUGUGUAGCGGUGAAAUGCGUAGAGAUGUGGAGGAAUACCGGUGGCGAAGGCGGCCCCUGGACAAAGACUGACGCUCAUGUGCGAAAGCGUGGGGAGCAAACGAGGGAUUAGAUACC
rnacentral:rRNA from 1 species